CAAGGCCACAAGUCCACCCCCCAUUUCUGUUCAUGCUCUGAUGUGGCCUGGGUCCCUGCUUCUACCUCUGUACAGUGGUGAAGGUUGGCCUCAAACUCAAGAUCUUCGUACUUCACCUUCACAAGUGCUGGGGCGACAGGCACACACCCCAGUGCCAGCUUUGUCAUGCCCCGUCCCCAGAGGCGAUGGUGCAUCAUGAUCUGUGAAUAUUUGGAGGGUGGAGUGCUAGAGGUGUGGACGCUUUUCUGAAUACCAGAUGCUGCACAGGAGAUGCCUCGCUCCCAAGGACUCUGCCCCCACCUUUCCCAGAGGAAAUAAGUCCUUUCUCCCCUAAAAAAAAGUUAUGCCAGGCACCUGAAGGCCAGAAAGAAUGUUCCCUCGGGAUACUGAAGGCUCCGCUUGUCACUACCAGGCACCCCGCAGAUUCCUUUGCAGCUGAGCUCCCCAAUUAGCCAUGAGCUGUGGCCAGAGGAGUGGUGGGACUUCCGCCAGCUGGAGCACCAGGGUGUGGCAGGCCUGGCAGGCGCUGAAGCUCAGUUUCGCCCAGGCAGGCCACCAGGGGCUGUCGUCUAGGAGCCCCCGCUGCUCCCAGGAAGCUGUCUGACAGCACAUAAUGAAAAAUCUUUUAAUCUUUGUCACCGUGGGUAGGCAAGCGGGCCAAAAGUCUAGAUGUUUCCAAGGGAAAUUUUAAUUAGUAUGUAAAUUUGAGUCUCAGCAUUCAAAUGUCAUUUGCUUAGUAAAUGUUGCUGCUCAGGCGCAGGUAUUUAUUUGAUCCUGUCCU